UUAAAAUGUAAAUAAAAAUAAAAUAAAGUAGUAAUAGUUAUAUUCUUGAAACUUAAUAAAUUUGGCGGUAUUUUAAUCUAAUCAGAGGAAUUUGUUUCAUAAUUGAUAAUCCUCAUUUAAUCUUACUUAAAUUUGUUUAAUUUGUAUAUCGUCAUCAUAAGAAUAUCUUAAAAAAGUAAAAAUUUUCUAAAAUUUUAAUUUUAAAUUAUGUUAGAUCAAGGUGCAGUUUAUAUUUAAGUAGAAAUGAAUUACAAUAAAUUUAUUUAUAUGAAUUUAAUUUUUAAAUAAAUUAAUGAAAGUGGAUUUGUUAGUAAAAUAAACAAUUAAAUUUAUUUGAUUAUAGUUCUAAAAUAUGU
rnacentral:rRNA from 1 species